UACGGAGGGGACUAGCGUUGUUCGGAAUUACUGGGCGUAAAGCGUGCGCAGGCGGUGAUGUAAGUCAGCUGUGAAAUCCCCGGGCUCAACCUGGGAACUGCAUCUGUGACUGCAUCGCUGGAGUGCGGCAGAGGGGGAUGGAAUUCCGCGUGUAGCAGUGAAAUGCGUAGAUAUGCGGAGGAACACCGAUGGCGAAGGCAAUCCCCUGGGCCUGCACUGACGCUCAUGCACGAAAGCGUGGGGAGCAAACAGG
rnacentral:rRNA from 1 species